UACGGGGGGGGCAAGCGUUGUUCGGAAUUACUGGGCGUAAAGGGCUCGUAGGUGGCCAACUAAGUCAGACGUGAAAUCCCAGGCUCAACUUGGGAACUGCGUCUGAUACUGGAUGGCUUGAAUCCGGGAGAGGGAUGCAGAAUUCCAGGUGUAGCGGUGAAAUGCGUAGAUAUCUGGAGGAAUACCGGUGGCGAAGGCGGCAUCCUGGACCGGCAUGACGCUGAGGAGCGAAAGCUAGGGGAGCAAACAGG
rnacentral:rRNA from 1 species